UUCUCCUGGAAACGGGUGGUAAUGCCGGAUGCUCCAGUUGAUCGCAUGGUCUUCUGGGAAAGCUUUCGCGGUAUGGGAUGGGGUCGCGUCCUAUCAGCUUGACGGCGGGGUAACGGCCCACCGUGGCUUCGACGGGUAGCCGGCCUGAGAGGGCGACCGGCCACAUUGGGACUGAGAUACGGCCCAGACUCCUACGGGAGGCAGCAGUGGGGAAUAUUGCACAAUGGGCGCAAGCCUGAUGCAGCGACGCCGCGUGAGGGAUGGAGGCCUUCGGGUUGUAAACCUCUUUUAUCGGGGAGCAAGCGAGAGUGAGUUUACCCGUUGAAUAAGCACCGGCUAACUACGUGCCAGCAGCCGCGGUAAUACGUAGGGUGCAAGCGUUAUCCGGAAUUAUUGGGCGUAAAGGGCUCGUAGGCGGUUCGUCGCGUCCGGUGUGAAAGUCCAUCGCUUAACGGUGGAUCCGCGCCGGGUACGGGCGGGCUUGAGUGCGGUAGGGGAGACUGGAAUUCCCGGUGUAACGGUGGAAUGUGUAGAUAUC
rnacentral:rRNA from 1 species